CGUGUAGCCGGGAGGGCAAGUCAGAUGUGAAAUCCACGGGCUCAACUCGUGAACUGCAUUUGAAACUACUCUUCUUGAGUAUCGGAGAGGCAAUCGGAAUUCCUAGUGUAGCGGUGAAAUGCGUAGAUAUUGGGAGGAACACCAGUGGCGAAGGCGCCUUUCUGGACUGUGUCUGACGCUGAGAUGCGAAAGCCAGGGUAGCGAACG
rnacentral:rRNA from 1 species